rnacentral:rRNA from 1 species
CCUANGGGAGGCUGCAGUCGAGGAUCUUCGGCAAUGGGCGCAAGCCUGACCGAGCGACGCCGCGUGUGGGAUGAAGGCCUUCGGGUUGUAAACCACUGUCAGUGGGGAGGAAAUGCUAUAGGGUUCUCCCUGUAGUUUGACCUAUCCGCAGAGGAAGUACGGGCUAAGUUCGUGCCAGCAGCCGCGGUAAGACGAACCGUACAAACGUUAUUCGGAAUCACUGGGCUUAAAGGGUGCGUAGGCUGUCCGAUAAGUUGGGCGUGAAAGCCCUCGGCUUAACCGAGGAAUUGCGCUCAAUACUGCCUGACUUGAGGAAGACAGAGGUGAGCGGAACUUAGGGUGGAGCGGUGAAAUGCGUUGAUAUCCUAAGGAACACCUGGGGCGAAAGCGGCUCACUGGGUCUUUUCUGACGCUGAGGCACGAAAGCUAGGGUAGCGAACGGGAUUAGAUACCCCANUANUC